GCCAGGCAUGGUGGCUCAUGCCUGUAAUCCCAGUAGUUUGGGAGGCUGAGACAGGCGGAUUGCAAGUUCAAAGCCAGACUCAGCAAUGGUGAGGCACUAAGCAACUCAGUGAGACCCUGUCUUUA
rnacentral:sRNA from 1 species